CAGCAGCCGCGGUAAUACGAAGGGGGCUAGCGUUGCUCGGAAUGACUGGGCGUAAAGGGCGCGUAGGCGGGUGGCACAGUCAGAUGUGAAAUUCCUGGGCUUAACCUGGGGGCUGCAUUUGAUACGUGUUGUCUAGAGUGUGAAGAGGGUCGUGGAAUUCCCAGUGUAGAGGUGAAAUUCGUAGAUAUUGGGAAGGACACCGGUGGCGAAGGCGGCGACCUGGUCCAUUACUGACGCUGAGGCGCGAAAGCGCGGGGAGCAAACAGGAUUAGAUACCCCUGUAGUCCCUGUCUCUUAUACA
rnacentral:rRNA from 1 species